GGGCUGGGGAUGUAGCUCCGUGGUAAAGUGCCCACAGGUUCAGUCCCCAGUAUCAAAGAAAAGAAAACCAAGGGGUUUCAGGAUCUCUGACCACUCACUCUAAAACCAGCACCUUGGAGGCCUUCCAUGCUUGGGGGCUGAGGUAGUCACCUCCAUCUUAUUUGGAAAAACACAAGAUAGAAGUGGCAAUGAACGUUGGCACCAGGGUACCCCCGAUCCUGGGUCAGCAGGGGGUUAGGGACCUCUGCUUCUCUAAAGAAGCCAGAUACAAGCCAAGGCAUUCACCAAAGGAGCACAACACCAUCUCUGCUAGAAAUUGUCAUUUUGUCCCCAGGCACAGUUAUCCACGUGACUCACACUGGCAGGAUCAGAGUCCCAGGGCUGCUCCCUCUGGGAUCCAUCCAGCCCUCCCUCGGGGCCCUUCCAUCUCACAGCCAGCACCAGCUCCCUGAAUUCAAAAUCACAAACCACACACCAGGAGGAAGAAGCCAUCUCUUCCACAUACUUCAGCAUAUGCCAGGGAGGAAGAGGAUAAUAGACAGAGACGGCCGGAUACAGAAAUACGUGUUGAACUAGUGCAACUAGGAACUGGCAAGUCACCAUUUAAAGGGUCAAGAGCUGUAUAUGGUGGAAUGAGAUGAUCCCACGCAAUAUGCAGAGAACCAAGAUGAAGAUCCAGUGUUCCCAGUGGCCCCAAGACUUGUAUAGAAGGAAAGGGGCCAAGCAACUGUGGAUCCCAACACUGUCAAAUCCAGCUGAGGCUGUUCAGGAAAACCUGGUUACCCUUACAAUCAUGAAAUUUAAAAUCAUCAUUAAUUUUCACACAAUGUUUUGCUUUAAUUUUCACACUAACCAACAUUUUAUGACUUACAUACAUACUUGACAUUAUUGAAAGUCGCCCCCCCCCCAAAAAAAAAAAGAAUGGCAAAAGACUUUCAAUGUGUACAACAAAAAUAAAGAGAAUCAUUAAAUUUAUGGUCAUCAAAAAAUCUAUCUUCUUUAAAAAUAGGUAUUAUUAGGAACUCUCAGAUCCAUGAAGACAGGAAGGAAACAUAUUCUUUAAAACAUUUUUUUUAAGCUUUUUCUCUUGCUUAGAGACUGCCCGGGACAGACUCAUGUUGCUGAUGUUGUGAUUAUUUUUUUAUGAUCUGGCAGAGGCAGGGCUCCUAUGCAGGUUCCUGGCUUCGUAGUUGAGUUCUCAGACCACAGCCGAAGUGUUCUCAUGUUGAGAACGCAGGGCCUCGGGGAACAGGCUUCUCGUCUCCAAAAUAGAUCCUUCCCAACCAUGGCGUGAAGCUUGUGAAUGUUUUCACAAUGACUCAGAAGCAAAGAUUCCCCAGCAGAAGAGCAAGUCAUAUACAAACACCUGGCACCCAGACCCCCAGGCUUUGCUUCCUGUGCCACGGGCAGUCCCCAAGUCAAGAUGGCCCCGGGGAAGUUGCCCAGGGAGCGUUAGAGACUAGAAACUGCCCUUGGAGACCUCCAGUCCCCUGGGGUUGGAGACAGUGAGAACCUCUUCCCCAUCUCUCUUGUUUGUGUCUUCCAUCCCCUGUUCACUCUCCAGUCACCACCUGUAAUAGAUUGGAUCCAUCAAAGGCCCAAAGUCUCAUCCCAACCUGUCCCAUACCUUGUCAUAUGACAGUGAAGUGUCCUCCUGCCCUAUUCUGUCUCUGGGCCCAGCCAGGUGACUUUGGUGAAUGGAAUAGUAGCCCACAUGACCCAAGCAGAGGCCACUUGUCCCUGUUUCCUGGUCUUCUGGGAGGCAAGACCCAGGUGAAGCCCAAGCAGGCCAUCCCAGGUGAUCUAGCCAUGGACACUACACCUGCUCCAGGAGCCAGCCAAUGCCCUCCAUGUGGCCACGCCCACCAAUCCACAGAACAGCCGAGACCCAGAGCAGUCAACAGGCCCCGUCUCAGCCACGGAGGUCGGUGGUUAUUAUUAUGCCAACACAUCACCCCUUACAUUCUAGCCGGCAGAAGGAAGAAGGAUGAGAAAUGUUUCCAGAAGCACAUGGGUCACCUCUGCUUAUUUGUCACUGGCCAGAGUUUAGUCUCCGAGCCACUUCUGCGGCACAGAAGACUAGAAAGCAGCAGUCUGUACUCGAGACACAGCUGUACGAGGCCUGUGUCACUGCUCAGCCAGGAACACCCGUGCGACCUUGGGCAAAUCCUCUCCUUCUUUGGCCUUGUGUUCUAUCUGUCCAGUGGGAGUGAGGGAGAGAGCGUUUCUGCGUGGUCUCUUAAGCCUUUCUGGAACUUUCCAGAAAUCCCAGUGAAGAUUUUGAAGAGGUUGGCCCUCUGUUGGAGGCCAGUGGAGAUGGACCUACUUAUACAUCCAGAUGGCCCCCUUCAGUCUGACAGCCAAAGCACAGGUCUCUAGCCGCCAUUCUCGGACCCCUGGACCAGUCCAAGGAAGCUGUAAGACUCCCCAAAAUCAGGAAAUGAAGUAGUCAGGGAUUCAAAGUGCAGCCAGGCACCAUGUAUGUGGCCCUGUUUGGAGUAAGAACAGAGUACAAAUACAUUUUAAUUGACCCCCAUCAAAUGACACUGCCCGUCUGUGCGCUUAAUAAAGAGGAAAGAACUCUGCUCAGGUCUGAUCACAGCCUUCAAGGCCUCAUAAAGCCAGUGAGCUCUGAGGUGAAAGACACUACACACUCACCUGUGGGCUGGGACAAUGUUAUGAGGCUUUCAAAUCUCAUAGAGAAAAAGCCUCUUCUAUCAAAUAUACAUAAAAACAUGAGAACAUCUCCCAAACAAGCUAAGGCAGACAGCUCUGUCUUUAUCUACUUUGAAAUCGCUGUUGCUGAAUUUGUGGUCAAAGAUACAUUUUAACUCACCACCAUUAAGUUAUACAGCCCAUAGGUGCACUUUAUCAAGAGGGGAAAAUCUUUGUUCGGAGUCUAGAAUUCUGAGAGUCUUAUAAGCCUUAAAAUUCUGUGACGAAAGGGACUACCCACUUUAUACUUUAUAAAUCAGACUGAUACGAUUUACAGCUCCGAAAUCCUCUUACUUAGAACUCAAGUAUUUAUCUCUCCCCUUGAGAGGGAAAAAAAAAAAAUCAAACUAGCUCUGAAGCCCAGAGCCAGCAGAGGUGUCAUCUGCCACAAAUGUCAUGGCUGUCCUGGAUUUUGCAUGAAAUAUAUAAAUUAUUACAACAGAAAACUAACAUAAGAUAUCAAGCAUUUAUGCCUAAAACUUAGAAUUCAAUGAGUCAACGACUCCUUAAAAAAAAAAAUAUCCUGGUAGGCAUCAUGAUCCCAUUUACAGGCAUGAAUACUGACAUUCAGAGAAGCUAUGUAACUCUUCCAAGGCCACACAGCUAACAAGGGGCCAAGCUGGGAUCUCAUCCCAGGCAGGUUCUCCAGGAGAAUAUACUUAGUACAGUGUCUGGCACAGAGUUCACACUUAGAAUUGUUUCUAUCUGCUUUCUCCCCUAAAAAUGAUUCUUGCCUAGAUUUGGGCAAGGUGGUCUCAGGGAUCCCCUAACCCACAGGGUGGAGUUGACUUCCACUGAAGAAGCUCACAGGCCUCCUGUGGGGUUCCCCCAUCCCCACUGAGCCAAAGGAUUUGUCAACUUUUGUUUUUUCUUUAUAGACAGAGACACAGGUAUGGAAUCAAAUCAUGUCUGAAGGACUGAAAAUCCACAGUACCAAGGGCAGAGGAGAGGUGGCCUGGUUCACUCAGUGGUAGAACUGUCCCCUCCCCUACCUUGGAUUCCACUCGCCCACCCCAGGUUGGAUGAUGUCCACCGGUACCGGGGAGAGUGACUCGAGUUAGUUUACACAUUCAAUACCACUCCCUCUAGACGUGCCUGGAAACGUUUCACCUGCUAUCUGCAUAUCACAUGAUACAGUCAAGGUGACACAUAAAAUUGGCCACCAUAACCAUUACAGCUAUGACCGUUAUAAAAAAAAUGUUCUGGGAUGAAUUUUUCUGUUUGUUUCCCUCCUAAGAAGAUUGGACUCAUUAUGGGUAUUGAAUCACGUCUCAUCCAUGUUGUUUGAGAUAGAAAUUCGGUUUAUUCUCUCAAAGGAUUUAGUGCUCUCGGUUCCCAGGAGUCCUAGUCCUUGAACUACCUUCCAAACCCCAAGGGGAAUGUCACAAA